rnacentral:rRNA from 1 species
GACGAACGCUGGCGGCGUGCUUAACACAUGCAAGUCGAACGGAAAGGCCCUGCUUUUUUGGGGUGCUCGAGUGACGAACGGGGGAGUAACAAUUGAGUAACCAACCCUUGACUUAGAGAUGACCUAAGGAAGCAGGGGCCAAUACCGGGUAGGAGCUCCCGCUGCUUGGGGGGGGUGGGAAAGUUUCGGCGGUUGGUGAGGGACCCGCGGCUCAUCAGCAUGUUGGUGAGGUAGUGGCGUACCAAGGCUAGGAUAGGUAGCCGGACUGAGAGGGUGACCGGCCACACUGGGACUGAGAUACGGCCCAGACUCCUACGGGAGGCAGCAGUGGGGAAUAUUGCGCAAUGGGCGGAAGCCUGAUGCAGCAACGCCGCGUGCGGGAUGACGGCCUUCGGGUUGUAAACCGCUUUCGCCUGUGACGAAGCGUGAGUGACGGUAAUGGGUAAAGAAGCACCGGCUAACUACGUG